rfam:Schistosoma mattheei strain Denwood, Zambia genome assembly, scaffold: SMTD_scaffold0008451
AUCCGGUUGACGAGUCCCAAAUAGGACAAAACCUGAGUCCUGGAU